GACGAACGCUGGCGGCGUGCUUAACACAUGCAAGUCGAACGGAAAGGCCUGCUUUCCCUUGUGGAUUGCGGGUACUCGAGUGGCGAACGGGUGAGUAACACGUGAGUGAUCUGCCCCCAACUUGGGUAUAAGCCUGGGAAACUGGGUCUAAUUCCCGAUAGGACUGCAGGGUGGUGCCUGUGGUGGAAAACGAUUUUCUAGUGGUUGGGGAUGAGCUCGCGGCCUAUCAGCUUGUGGGUGGGGUAAUGGCCUACCAAGGCGGCGACGGGUAGCCGGCCUGAGAGGGUGGACGGCGACAUUGGGACUGAGAUACGGCCCAGACUCCUACGGGAGGCAGCAGUGGGGAAUAUUGCACAAUGGGCGGAAGCCUGAUGCAGCGACGCCGCGUGGGGGAUGACGGCCUUCGGGUUGUAAACUCCUUUCGACCGCGAGGAAGCCACCUGGUUGGAAGGGUGGUGACGGUAGUGGUAGAAGAAGCACCGGCUAACUACGUG
rnacentral:rRNA from 1 species